rnacentral:rRNA from 1 species
AUUGAACGCUGGCGGCAUGCCUUACACAUGCAAGUCGAACGGCAGCACGGGAGCAAUCCUGGUGGCGAGUGGCGAACGGGUGAGUAAUAUAUCGGAACGUGCCCAGUCGUGGGGAUAACGUAGCGAAAGCUACGCUAAUACCGCAUACGAUCUACGGAUGUAAGCGGGGGAUCGCAAGACCUCGCGCGAUUGGAGCGGCCGAUAUCAGAUUAGGUAGUUGGUGAGGUAAAGGCUCACCAAGCCGACGAUCUGUAGCUGGUCUGAGAGGACGACCAGCCACACUGGGACUGAGACACGGCCCAGACUCCUACGGGAGGCAGCAGUGGGGAAUUUUGGACAAUGGGCGCAAGCCUGAUCCAGCAAUGCCGCGUGCAGGAUG